GGUCGGCUAGCUCAGCUGGUUAGAGCGCUUGGUUCACAUCCAAGAGGUCGAGGGUUCGAGUCCCCCGCCGACCACCA
rnacentral:tRNA from 2 species